UACAGAGGGUGCGCGUGUUAAUAGGAAUUACUGGGCGUAAAGCGCACGUAGGUGGCGACGUAAGUCGGGUGUGAAAGCCCCGGGCUCAACCUGGGAAUUGCAUUCGAGACUGCAUUGCUGGAGUACGGAAGAGGAGGGCGGAAUUCCCGGUGUAGCGGUGAAAUGCGUAGAUAUCGGGAGGAACAUCAGUGGUGAAGGGGGCCCUCGAGCCCAGUACUGACCUUCAAGUGCGAAAGCGUGGGGAGCAAACAGG
rnacentral:rRNA from 1 species